rnacentral:rRNA from 1 species
CCUUACCAGGUCUUGACAUCCCUCGACAACCGAGAGAUCGGGCGUUCCCCUUCGGGGGACAGGGUGACAGGUGGUGCAUGGUUGUCGUCAGCUCGUGUCGUGAGAUGUUGGGUUAAGUCCCGCAACGAGCGCAACCCUCGACCUUAGUUGCCAGCAUUCAGUUGGGCACUCUAAGGUGACUGCCGGCUAAAAGUCGGAGGAAGUGGGGAUGACGUCAAAUCAUCAUGCCCUUAUGACCUGGGCUACACACGUGCUACAAUGGGCGGUACAAAGGGUCGCGAACCCGCGAGGGGGAGCCAAUCCCAAAAAGCCGCUCCCAGUUCGGAUUGCAGGCUGCAACUCGCCUGCAUGAAGCCGGAAUCGCUAGUAAUCGCGGAUCAGCAUGCCGCGGUGAAUACGUUCCCGGGCCUU